rnacentral:rRNA from 1 species
UACGUAGGGUGCAAGCGUUGUCCGGAAUUAUUGGGCGUAAAGAGCUCGUAGGCGGUCUGUCGCGUCUGCUGUGAAAACUCAGGGCUUAACCCUGAGCUUGCAGUGGGUACGGGCAGACUAGAGUGUGGUAGGGGAGACUGGAAUUCCUGGUGUAGCGGUGAAAUGCGCAGAUAUCAGGAGGAACACCGGUGGCGAAGGCGGGUCUCUGGGCCGAUACUGACGCUGGAGGAGCGAAAGCGUGGGGAGCGAACAGG